UCCUUCUCAAGCAUGAAGUACGCCUGGGAAAUUUUCUUCUGAUCCUCAGGGGAUUUGGUCUAGGAACAUUGAUCCAUCUUUUGCAAGUUUCCAGGACAUGGUUGGGGCAGCCAAGGCGAGGAGCUGCUGGACCUACAGAACUGCGAGUCCCACAGUUUCCCUGUGGAUUCUGAGUGACACAGCGGCCCUGGCUCGAACCGGCCCCACCGUUUCCCCGUGGAUUCUGAGUGACAUGGCAGCCAUGGCCUGAGCCGGCAGGACAGUCGCUGGCUGCCUGUGCUCCUGUGGACCCAGGGCCUGUCUCAAGGCCUGCCUGCUGUCAGUCAAGCAUGCUGGCGGGUGCGGGGCCCUUUCCCUCCACACGUCCAAUCGUGAUCAGAGGAGGAUGAGGAUGGAGACAAGUGUCCUUCCAGUUCUUUCAGAGAGCGACCUUCUGCAUGAUGACUUCACUAGUACAUGGGAUGGAAGGGAAGGGUUUCCUCUUAAGCCAUUUGCAGCAUUUCACCCUGUGCCUUUUCUGCAUGAAUCUGAAAUCCCCACACUUGUAGAACAUCCAACAAGCUUCCUUCCGAGUUCCUUACACUCAGGUCUAGGAAUUAGAUACUUUUUAUGUAUGAUCGAUGGCAUCUUAUAUGAGUAAACUGCAUCCCUCAUGCAGUCUUGCAGUCCGACAGUUUCAGUCUAUUAGGGUUUUGUUGCUGGAGGGGACAGCUGGCUGAUUAUUUGAACCCUAGGGCAGAAAAGCACACUGAAAAGGCAGAACAUUUAGCUUUCAGUAAACUCGUUACAUCUUACACUUUAUUUACGAUGGUGGUUUACUCAGACUCUGAAGUUAUUUUCUUAUUUAUUUUGCAGAACAUUCUGAUGUAAAAUCCCAUGGAUUUUACGGUGUGCUGCACAGACCCACGGCACAGUGGGUGGAAAGUCAUCCAAGCGUCUAGUCUUCCUGGGUCAGCAGUAUAGAAUGGGUUCAGGAGUGUGUGACUCUUGUACACUUCAAAAGCCUGGAGACAAGUACUUCCCAGCUGUGCGGCAGAAGUGGGCCCUGGGUACAGAGCCGGAAGAUUCCAGAUUCUCUGCAUCGCUGACCCAGAGCUGCCUCCAUAUCCCUGGCUGCUCAGAGAGGCCUGAAGGCCCCAAGAGCAGUAACAGCAACCCCUUCAACUCCAAAUGCAAGCUUCGAAUAGGUUCAAUGAUGGGAGCUGCCCGAGGGACCCAGGUCAUCUGGUUUACUCCCAGGAGAAAAGUCACAGCAGACACAAUUCAUCACUUUUUGCUGGGAAGCUGCUUCUCUCAUGAGAUGAAGUCGUGGCCGUCGUAACUCUUCCCUAAACUCUUCCCUAUCAAACUGAGCACGCUCCCUGGCCUCUGUUAAUGAACAGCGACUUCAUGUCCAGGAAGUGCACUGCUUGUUGUGAGGCAGAAGAUGACGUGGAUCCGGGCCAGGUGUCCAGGAGGGAAUUCUGACAUGUGACGUCCAGGAGAGGAUCUGGCUCUGUGGACUCAGGGCCCAGGCCAGGCAAGUGCUGGACUCGAGAUUGGCCUUGGUUCUCUCCUAAGAAGUGUCUGGA